AGUGAACGCUGGCGGUAGGCCUAACACAUGCAAGUCGAACGGCAGCACAGUAAGAGCUUGCUCUUACGGGUGGCGAGUGGCGGACGGGUGAGGAAUACAUCGGAAUCUACUUUUUCGUGGGGGAUAACGUAGGGAAACUUACGCUAAUACCGCAUACGACCUACGGGUGAAAGCGGGGAUCUUCGGACCUUGCGCGGUUGAAUGAGCCGAUGUCGGAUUAGCUAGUUGGCGGGGUAAAGGCCCACCAAGGCGACGAUCCGUAGCUGGUCUGAGAGGAUGAUCAGCCACACUGGAACUGAGACACGGUCCAGACUCCUACGGGAGGCAGCAGUGGGGAAUAUUGGACAAUGGGCGCAAGCCUGAUCCAGCCAUACCGCGUGGGUGAAGAAGGCCUUCGGGUUGUAAAGCCCUUUUGUUGGGAAAGAAAAGCAGCAGGUUAAUACCCCGCUGUUCUGACGGUACCCAAAGAAUAAGCACCGGCUAACUUCGUG
rnacentral:rRNA from 1 species